rnacentral:rRNA from 1 species
GACGAACGCUGGCGGCGUGCCUAAUACAUGCAAGUCGAGCGGACCAAAGGGAGCUUGCUCCUGGAGGUUAGCGGCGAACGGGUGAGUAACACGUGGGCAACCUGCCUGUAAGACUGGGAUAACAUCGAGAAAUCGGUGCUAAUACCGGAUAAUAAAAGAACUGCAUGGUUCUUUUUGAAGAUGGUUUCGGCUAUCACUUACAGAUGGCCGCGGCGCAUUAGCUAGUUGGUGAGGUAACGGCUCACCAAGGCAACGAUGCGUAGCCGACCUGAGAGGGUGAUCGGCCACACUGGGACUGAGACACGGCCCAGACUCCUACGGGAGGCAGCAGUAGGGAAUCUUCCGCAAUGGACGAAAGUCUGACGGAGCAACGCCGCGUGAGUGAUGAAGGUUUUCGGAUCGUAAAACUCUGUUGUUAGGGAAGAACAAGUGCCGUUCGAAAGGGCGGCACCUUGACGGUACCUAACGAGAAAGCCACGGCUAACUACGUGCCAGCAGCCGCGGU